rnacentral:rRNA from 1 species
GCUUGUCUCAAAGAUUAAGCCAUGCAUGUCUAAGUAUAAAUGAUUUUAUACAGUGAAACUGCGAAUGGCUCAUUAAAUCAGCCAUAAUUUACUUGAUAAUCCAAAAAAAAACUUAAAAGGAUAACUGUAGUAAUUCUAGAGCUAAUACAUGCUAAAAGCCUCAUUUUUGCAUAAAAAAUGGGGUGUAUUUAUUAGAUAUCAAACCUUAAUGUCCAAAAAAACUCUAGAAGAGGAGUCAUAAUAACUUUUGCGAAUCGCAUAACUAUCAAUUGUUGGCGAUAAAUCAUUCAAAUAUCUGCCCUAUCAACUUUCGAUGGUAGAUUAGAGGUCUACCAUGGUCUUAACGGGUAACGGGGAAUUAGGGUUUGAUUCCGGAGAGGGAGCCUGAGAAAUGGCUACCACAUCCAAGGAAGGCAGCAGG